rnacentral:lncRNA from 1 species
CUUUUCUUUUUGAUAUCUUUUUCAUGUUUAACCCAAAUAUUUUAAAGCCAAGGAUGAAAAGAUAUUUCAAUACUGCUUACCCACACAGAUCACCUGGGACCAUCCCUUGUUUUUGGUGGGGAAGUGUUGCUUUUUUCUUUAGUUUUCUAUACUCUGUCAUGUGUACUGUUGUUUGUCUGUUUGUCUUUUUCAUUUUUAGCCAUGGCGUUGUCAGUUUAUUUUCAAUUUAUGAGUUUGACUGUCACUCUGGUAUCUUUCGUCCCUCUUUGAGAAGCUUAUUAGUGUCUAUUAGGGGCUGCUAGUCUAAAUUUACUUACAAAAUUCAGCCUGUAAUUCAGUGGUUCUCGUUUUUUUAUAUGUUACAUAUUGUUUUUCGUUCAUUUUUUUUUAUAUAUAAUAAGGCCGUUUGUUUUCUCGUUUGAAUUGUUUUACAUUGUCAAAUCGGGGCCUUUUAUAGCUGACUAUGUGGUAUGUGCUUUGCUCAUUGUUGAAGGCCGUAUGGUGACCUAUAGUUGUUAAUAUCUGUAUCAUGUUGGUCUCUUGUGGAGGUUUCUAAAGGUAAAUUAGGUAUACAUUUCAUUCAAGACAUAGAUUAGCAAUGGGAGAUUUUUUACUGAAUUUACCCCUGAAAUGUUAAUACUGUUUUGUUCUUUUUGGAAGCAGCUCUUCUAAGGUCUUAAUCGAUUAAUUUCAUCUCAUCGGACAAUGUUUAUUUUUGAACAAUCUGAUGCAAUAGUCUGC